rfam:Cavia porcellus supercont2_27 genomic scaffold, whole genome shotgun sequence.
AGCUUUGCACAAUGGAAGUAUCAUAGCUAAUUAGGUUUAUAUGAGGCAAGAUUAUUGCAAAUUGAAAACUUUUCCUAAUACCCUGCCAUGACAACUUGAAAUAGAAAGAUAACAUGACAAAGAUAAGGCAAUAAAUAUCAGUUA